rnacentral:rRNA from 1 species
AUUGAACGCUGGCGGCAGGCUUAACACAUGCAAGUCGAGCGGAGAUGAGGUGCUUGCACCUUAUCUUAGCGGCGGACGGGUGAGUAAUGCUUAGGAAUCUGCCUAUUAGUGGGGGACAACAUUCCGAAAGGAAUGCUAAUACCGCAUACGCCCUACGGGGGAAAGCAGGGGAUCUUCGGACCUCUCACUAUUGGAUGAGCCCAAGUCGGAUUAGCUAGUUGGUGGGGUAAAGGCCUACCAAGGCGACGAUCUGUAGCGGGUCUGAGAGGAUGAUCCGCCACACUGGGACUGAGACACGGCCCAGACUCCUACGGGAGGCAGCAGUGGGGAAUAUUGGACAAUGGGCGGAAGCCUGAUCCAGCCAUGCCGCGUGUGUGAAGAAGGCCUUUUGGUUGUAAAGCACUUUAAGCGAGGAGGAGGCUACCUGGAUUAAUACUCUAGGAUAGUGGACGUUACUCGCAGAAUAAGCACCGGCUAACUCUGUGCCAGCCGCCGCCGUAACAC